rnacentral:lncRNA from 1 species
GGGAGGGGGCGCGGGCGCGCCCCCGCUGGGUGGGAGCCGCGGGACCCCCACGGGCACGCGGGGGGGUGGGGGGGGGGGGGGGCACACGCGGGCACGCGCGGGCACACGCGGGGGGGUGUGGGGGGUGCACGGACACGCGUCUGCAGCACUCGCAGGCGUGCAGCUGCUUGCACACGCAUGCACACGCGUGUGCUCACACGUGCACACACGCACAUGCAUGCACACACGUGUGUGCUCACACACGCGUGCACACGCGCACACACUUGCACCCGCUCCAACACCGGCCCUUGCACCAACACACGCGUGUAGAUGUGCACACACACACACACACACAAGUAGAUCCCACACAUCCGUGUGCACAAAUGUGUGUGCAGACACGUGCACGCUCGUGCACAUGAUUGCACGCACACAGCCCUGCCUGCACAUGCACAUGCUCACAUGCAGACACACGUGUGUGCAUGCAGGGGACGUGCACAUGGAUAUGCACACACAUGGACAUACACACACACAAGCAGACCCCACGCAUCCAUGUGUGCAAGCAUGAGUGCAAAUGUGCACACACACACAUGUGCACACGCUCAUGCACACAUUACACACACACCAUUUCCAUGUUCACACACACACAGCUAUGCACACCUACACGCAGACACACAUGUGUGCAUGCAGGGGAUGUGCACAUGGACACACACACACACGGACACACCUGCUCCAACAAAGGCACGUGCACACACACACACAAGCAGACCCCACACAUCCAUGUGUGCAAACACGCGUGCAAAUGUGCACAUGCACACACUUGCACACGCUCAUGCACAUCCUUGCACACGCACAGCCCUGCCCGUGCCUGCACACACUCACAUGCAGACACACAUGUGUGCAUGCAGGGGACGUGCACACGUGCACACACACGCACUUGCACCUGCUCCAACACUGGCACGUGCACACACACAGGCACACAAGCAGACCCCACACAUCCAUGUGUGCAAACACGCGUGCAAAUGUGCACACACACACACUUGCACAUGCUCAUGCACACAUCACACACACACAGCCCUGCCUGCACCUGCACACGCUCACACACAGACACAUGCACAUGCACACGGACACACCUGCUCCAACACUGGCACGUGCACACACACACACACACAUGCACACCCCACACAUCCGUGUGCACAAACACGAGCCCAGACGUGCACACACAUGCACUUGCACACGCUCAUGCAUAUGCUCACACACAUUACACACCACUGCCAUGCUCACACGCACACAGCCCUGCCCACACCUGCACACACUCACAUGCAGACACACACGUGUGCAUGCAGGGGACAUGCACACACGCACACACACACACUUGCACAUGUUCCAACAAUUGCACAUGCACACACACAUGCACACACACGCGCAGACCCCACGCAUCCAUAUGUGCAAACAUGCGUGCAAAUGUGCACAUGCACUUGCACACACUCAUGCACACACCACACACACACAGCCCUGCCUGCACCUGCACACUCUCACACACAGACACACACGUGUGCAUGCAGGGGAUGUGCACAUGGACACGCACACACAUGGACACACACGCACACACCUGCUGUAACACAGGCAUGUGCACACACACACACACACACAAAACAAGCAGACCCCACGCAUCCAUGUGUGCAAGCAUGCAUGCAAAUGUGCACACACCCACCCACCUGCACACGUUCAUGCACACGUUACACACCCACUGCCAUGCUCACACACACACAGCCCUGCCCACACCUGCACACACUCACAUGCAGACACACGCGUGUGCAUGCAGGGGACAUGCACACACGCACAUACACACACUUGCACAUGUUCCAACAAUUGCACAUGCACACACACAUGCACACACACGCGCAGACCCCACGCAUCCAUAUGUGCAAACAUGCGUGCAAAUGUGCACAUGCACUUGCACACACUCAUGCACACACCACACACACACAGCCCUGCCUGCACCUGCACACUCUCACACACAGACACACACAUGUGCAUGCAGAGGACAUGCACACGGACACGCACACACAUGGACACACACGCACACACCUGCUCUAACACAGGCAUGUGCACACACACACACACACACACACAAGCAGACCCCACACAUCCAUGUGUGCAAGCAUGCGUGCAAAUGUGCACACACACACGCACUUGCACACGCUCAUGCACACAUUACACACCCACUGCCAUGCUCACACACACACACCCCUGCC